CUUCUCAUUCCUGCUACCAUGUGAAGAAGGAUGUGUUUGCUUCCCCUUCCACCAUGAUUUUAAGUUUCCUGAGGCCUCCUGAGCCCUGCAGAACAGCUGCCUCUACUCUCCAAGUUGACUCCAUUCAAUCUCUUGCGGCUGCUGCUUCCCUAACUCUGAGUCCUUGCCUUCUGCUACAUUUGGUUACAAUUAACGUCCAGCUUGUCUUCUAGACCUCACCUGCUCUGGGCUCUGGACCCAGGUGAGUAAGUCAUCCUUUUUUGUCCUUACCAAUAAAUCAAGUCCAACCUCAGGAGAACUACUUCAUACAUUUCUAAGUGUAUGGGAAAACAAAGCAAAACAAAAAACUACCAUAGAGGAUGUGCCGUGCAAAUCUGCUGUAGUGUAGACGGCUCCCUCUCUCUAAAUCUACUGUAGUGUAGACGGCUCCCUCUCUCUAAAUCUACUGUAGUGUAGACGGCUCCCUCUCUGUAAAUCUACUGUAGUGUAGACGGCUCCCUCUCUGUAAAUCUACUGUAGUGUAGACGGCUCCCUCUCUGUAAAUCUACUGUAGUGUAGACGGCUCCCUCUCUGUAAAUCUACUGUAGUGUAGACGGCUCCCUCUCUGUAAAUCUACUGUAGUGUAGACGGCUCCCUCUCUGUAAAUCUACUGUAGUGUAGACGGCUCCCUCUCUGUAAAUCUACUGUAGAUGGCUCCCUCUCUAUAAAUCUACUGUAGUGUAGACGGCUCCCUCUCUAUAAAUCUACUGUAGUGUAGACGGCUCCCUCUCUGUAAAUCUACUGUAGUGUAGACGGCUCCCUCUCUGUAAAUCUACUGUAGAUGGCUCCCUCUCUAUAAAUCUACUGUAGUGUAGACGGCUCCCUCUCUAUAAAUCUACUGUAGUGUAGACGGCUCCCUCUCUGUAAAUCUACUGUAGUGUAGACAGCUCCCUCUCUGCAAAUCUACUGGAUGCAGA
rnacentral:lncRNA from 10 species